rnacentral:rRNA from 1 species
CUACGGGGGGCUGCAGUGGGGAAUAUUGCACAAUGGGGGAAACCCUGAUGCAGCCAUGCCGCGUGUGUGAAGAAGGCCUUCGGGUUGUAAAGCACUUUCAGCGAGGAGGAAAGGUUGAUGCCUAAUACGCAUCAGCUGUGACGUUACUCGCAGAAGAAGCACCGGCUAACUCCGUGCCAGCAGCCGCGGUAAUACGGAGGGUGCAAGCGUUAAUCGGAAUUACUGGGCGUAAAGCGCACGCAGGCGGUUGGAUAAGUUAGAUGUGAAAGCCCCGGGCUCAACCUGGGAAUUGCAUUUAAAACUGUCCAGCUAGAGUCUUGUAGAGGGGGGUAGAAUUCCAGGUGUAGCGGUGAAAUGCGUAGAGAUCUGGAGGAAUACCGGUGGCGAAGGCGGCCCCCUGGACAAAGACUGACGCUCAGGUGCGAAAGCGUGGGGAGCAAACAGGAUUAGAUACCCGUGUAGUC